CCCUCGGAGCUAUACUUGGUAUUCCUCUUCCUCUCGUUUCUAAAGCCAUGCUUAGUUCUUCGCCUCCUUGGGUUGCGCCGCUUCUCCAGAGCUUCUUCGAUUUCGCGGGAAAUGGGGCGAAAGUGUGUUGCAUCAUUUAUUUAUUCUGAUUCUCGGCGAAAUACUGCUUCUCUAACUCCAUCAUCUUCCCGUCCAUUUACUGGGAAAGUACCUCUAAAUCCCCAGUGAACUACAAGCUCAGGGUCUCAUUCUUCAGCUGCUCAUGUGCAUACAGGUUCUCGAGGCUCCUCGCAACGGGUUGAUACACAAGCCUUUAUUCCAAAAUAUGUCCCACCUCCGAACAAUGUUGUUCCAUCUACUGACGAGGCCCUUGAUGGUGUUCAAAUGAAUCCUGAAGAUGAUUCUGACUCAGAAACAAAUGAAUCUCCUCAGGAGGAUACAAGGGCACAUGAUGGGCCACGAUGCAGAAAACCUUCAUCAUCCCGUCCAACCUAAACUAUAAUCAGGAACUAUUACACAAAAACCUUGGAGGAUUUAGAUGCCAAACUACAGGAACAACAGUCAACAGGUUCUCAUGGGGAAGUGUAUCGUGCAGAUUGGAAUGGCAUGGUGAGUUAGUUGCAAUGUCACUUGCACUCUUUGUUAAUAGAAACUUUUCGAGUUAAAUAACUAUUUGACUUUUUCCAAUCAUGUUUUUAGAGUUAUUUCCUGCUUUUUUUUUGCCCCAAUACUUAAUUGGUUUUGUGACUUUUGUCUUAUGGUUGACUAUCUUCCAACUUUAUUGUAUAAUAGAUUUCUGACAUUUUAUAAGCUACUUUCGGGAAAGAAAAAAAAUGCACAGUGGUUUGCAAUUGAACAUGUAGUAGAUGUGCAAUAUGAGGAAUUUCAUAAUAGGGCUUGAUGUUCAAGUUGAGGAUAUUGAUCA